rnacentral:rRNA from 1 species
GAUGAACGCUGGCGGCGUGCCUAAUACAUGCAAGUCGAACGAGGCCCUUUGUAUUCGCACGAAGGUGUCCUAGUGGCGAACGGGUGAGUAACACGUAGGUGACCUGCCCCGAAGCGGGGGACAACUCCGGGAAACUGGAGCUAAUACCCCAUGUUCUCCAUGGUGUUAGAGGACCAUGGAGCAAAGGAGCAAUCCACUUUGGGAGGGGCCUGCGGCCCAUCAGCUAGUUGGUAGGGUAAUGGCCUACCAAGGCUAUGACGGGUUGGGGACCUGAGAGGGUGGUCCCCCACACUGGAACUGAAACACGGACCAGACACCUACGGGUGGCAGCAGUAGGGAAUAUUGCACAAUGGGCGAAAGCCUGAUGCAGCAACGCCGCGUGCGCGAUGAAGGCCUUCGGGUUGUAAAGCGCUUUUCUGGGGGAAGAGGAAGGACGGUACCCCAGGAA